rnacentral:rRNA from 1 species
GACGAACGCUGGCGGCGUGCCUAAUACAUGCAAGUUGAGCGCUGAAGGUUGGUACUUGUACCCACUGGAUGAGCAGCGAACGGGUGAGUAACGCGUGGGGAAUCUGCCUUUGAGCGGGGGACAACAUUUGGAAACGAAUGCUAAUACCGCAUAAAAACUUUAAACACAAGUUUUAAGUUUGAAAGAUGCAAUUGCAUCACUCAAAGAUGAUCCCGCGUUGUAUUAGCUAGUUGGUGAGGUAAAGGCUCACCAAGGCGAUGAUACAUAGCCGACCUGAGAGGGUGGACGGCCACAUUGGGAAUGAGACACGGCCCAAAAUCCCACGGGAGGCAGCAGUAGGGAAUCUUCGGCAAUGGACGAAAGGCUGACCGAGCAACGCCGCGUGAGUGAAGAAGGUUUUCGGAUCGUAAAACUCUGUUGGUAGAGAAGAACGUUGGUGAGAGUGGAAAGCUCAUCAAGUGACGGUAACUACCCAGAAAGGGACGGCUAACUACGUG